rnacentral:misc_RNA from 1 species
UGUUUCUCUUGCUAUACAUUUCUAGUGAUAAAGAGGAAUGCAUCCUUCAUUACCCCCCAAUACAAAAAGGGACAAAAAAAGGAAAAAAAGAAAAAGAAAGAAGGUUAAAGAUAAUGACAUAACAGCAAACUUAACAAACUUCUCACUGACGACUGAGGACAAGUAUUAAUUGGUGCACUAAAACUAUAACCAUGAAGAAGACAAAUUCGUAAUAAAUUCACCGUUAUAACUCUAGCAUCUUCAUCCGGAGGCCUCUUGAUGCA